UACGGGGGGGGUAAGCGUUGUUCGGAAUUACUGGGCGUACAGGGCUCGUAGGCGGCCCACUAAGUCAUACGUGAAAUCCCUCAGCUUAACUGGGGAACUGCGUGUGAUACUGGAUGGCUUGAGAUUGGGAGAGGGAUGCGGAAUUCCAGGUGUAGCGGUGAAAUGCGUAGAUAUCUGGAGGAACACCGGUGGCGAAGGCGGCAUCCUGGACCAACACUGACGCUGAGGAGCGAAAGCCAGGGGAGCAAACGGG
rnacentral:rRNA from 1 species